UGAGUAAUACAUCGGAACGUGUCUUCUAGUGGGGGAUAACUGCCCGAAAGGGCAGCUAAUACCGCAUGAGACCUGAGGGUGAAAGCGGGGGAUCGCAAGACCUCGCGCUGGAAGAGCGGCCGAUGUCCGAUUAGCUAGUUGGUGAGGUAAAGGCUCACCAAGGCGACGAUCGGUAGCCGGACUGAGAGGUUGGCCGGCCACAUUGGGACUGAGACACGGCCCAG
rnacentral:rRNA from 1 species